CCUACGGGCGGCAGCAGUGGGGAAUAUUGCGCAAUGGGCGAAAGCCUGACGCAGCGACGCCGCGUGAGGGAUGAAGGUCUUCGGAUCGUAAACCUCUGUCAGCAGGGAAGAACGGUCACUGUGCUAAUCAGCAGUGAAUUGACGGUACCUGCAAAGGAAGCACCGGCUAACUCCGUGCCAGCAGCCGCGGUAAUACGGAGGGUGCGAGCGUUAAUCGGAAUUACUGGGCGUAAAGCGCUCGUAGGCGGUAUGUCAAGUCAAGGGUGAAAUCCCCGGGCUCAACGUGGGAACUGCCUUUGAAACUGGCAGACUGGAGUGUGUGAGAGGAUAGUGGAAUUCGAGGUGUAGGAGUGAAAUCCGUAGAUAUCUGGAGGAACAUCAGUGGCGAAGGCGACUAUCUGGCACAUAACUGACGCUGAGGAGCGAAAGCGUGGGUAGCAAACAGGAUUAGAUACCCUUGUAGUC
rnacentral:rRNA from 1 species